rnacentral:RNase_P_RNA from 1 species
ACGGGAAGCGAGUGCGGAUCGCGGCCGGCCAUGCGCCGGUCGAGGAAAGUCCGAGCUCACAGGGCAGGGUGCCGGCUAACAGCCGGGCGUCGCAAGACGACGGACAGUGCAACAGAGAGCAGACCGCCGAUGGGUGCGCAAGCACCACAGGCAAGGGUGAAACGGUGGUGUAAGAGACCACCGCGCGACUGGCAACAGCUCGCGGCACGGUAAACCCCACCCGGAGCAAGGCCAAAUAGAGGACGAGGCGCUGGCCCGCGCCGAUGACUUCGGUCGAGAGUCCCGGGUAGGCUGCACGAGGCGUCGAGCAAUCGACGUCCCAGAGAAAUGAUCCGCCUCCGGCAACGGAGACAGAACUCGGCUUAUUCGCUUCCCGUUCGA